CUCCUACGGGAGGACAGCAGUGGGGAAUAUUGGACAAUGGGCGAAAGCCUGAUCCAGCCAUGCCGCGUGAAUGGUGAAGGCCUUCGGGUUGUAAAGUUCUUUUGACUAGGGAAGAUGAUGACGGUACCUGUAGAAUAAGCUCCGGCUAACUUCGUGCCAGCAGCCGCGGUAAUAC
rnacentral:rRNA from 1 species